UGCUGGAGGUAUCAGAAGUGCGAAUGCUGACAUAAGUAACGAUAAAGCGGGUGAAAAGCCCGCUCGCCGGAAGACCAAGGGUUCCUGUCCAACGUUAAUCGGGGCAGGGUGAGUCGACCCCUAAGGCGAGGCCGAAAGGCGUAGUCGAUGGGAAACAGGUUAAUAUUCCUGUACUUGGUGUUACUGCGAAGGGGGGACGGAGAAGGCUAUGUUAGCCGGGCGACGGUUGUCCCGGUUUAAGCAUGUAGGCUGGUUGUCCAGGCAAAUCCGGAUAAUCAAGGCUGAGGUGUGAUGACGAGGCACUACGGUGCUGAAGUAACAAAUGCCCUGCUUCCAGGAAAAGCCUCUAAGCAUCAGGUAACAUUAAAUCGUACCCCAAACCGACACAGGUGGUCAGGUAGAGAAUACCAAGGCGCUUGAGAGAACUCGGGUGAAGGAACUAGGCAAAAUGGUGCCGUAACUUCGGGAGAAGGCACGCUGGUGUGUAGGUGAAGUCCCUGCGGAUGGAGCUGAGACCAGUCGAAGAUACCAGCUGGCUGCAACUGUUUAUUAAAAACACAGCACUGUGCAAACACGAAAGUGGACGUAUACGGUGUGACGCCUGCCCGGUGCCGGAAGGUUAAUUGAUGGGGUUAUCCGUAAGGAGAAGCUCUUGAUCGAAGCCCCGGUAAACGGCGGCCGUAACUAUAACGGUCCUAAGGUAGCGAAAUUCCUUGUCGGGUAAGUUCCGACCUGCACGAAUGGCGUAAUGAUGGCCAGGCUGUCUCCACCCGAGACUCAGUGAAAUUGAACUCGCUGUGAAGAUGCAGUGUACCCGCGGCAAGACGGAAAGACCCCGUGAACCUUUACUAUAGCUUGACACUGAACAUUGAGCCUUGAUGUGUAGGAUAGGUGGGAGGCUUUGAAGCGUGGACGCCAGUCUGCGUGGAGCCAACCUUGAAAUACCACCCUUUAAUGUUUGAUGUUCUAACGUUGGCCCCUGACCGGGGUUGCGGACAGUGUCUGGUGGGUAGUUUGACUGGGGCGGUCUCCUCCCAAAGCGUAACGGAGGAGCACGAAGGUUAGCUAAUCCUGGUCGGACAUCAGGAGGUUAGUGCAAUGGCAUAAGCUAGCUUGACUGCGAGCGUGACGGCGCGAGCAGGUGCGAAAGCAGGUCAUAGUGAUCCGGUGGUUCUGAAUGGAAGGGCCAUCGCUCAACGGAUAAAAGGUACUCCGGGGAUAACAGGCUGAUACCGCCCAAGAGUUCAUAUCGACGGCGGUGUUUGGCACCUCGAUGUCGGCUCAUCACAUCCUGGGGCUGAAGUAGGUCCCAAGGGUAUGGCUGUUCGCCAUUUAAAGUGGUACGCGAGCUGGGUUUAGAACGUCGUGAGACAGUUCGGUCCCUAUCUGCCGUGGGCGCUGGAGAAUUGAGGGGGGCUGCUCCUAGUACGAGAGGACCGGAGUGGACGCAUCACUGGUGUUCGGGUUGUCAUGCCAAUGGCACUGCCCGGUAGCUAAAUGCGGAAGAGAUAAGUGCUGAAAGCAUCUAAGCACGAAACUUGCCCCGAGAUGAGUUCUCCCUGAGACUUUAAGUCUCCUGAAGGAACGUU
rnacentral:rRNA from 1 species